AUUGAACGCUGGCGGCAGGCCUAACACAUGCAAGUCGAACGGUAACAGGAAGCUUCUUGCUGGUUUUCGGGCGGGUGGCGGGAGGGUGACCAAUGACUCGGCAACUUCGUGAUGGAGGAGGACAACUACUGGAAGCGGUAGCUACUUCCGCAUAACGUCGCAAGACCAAAGAGGUUGGGCUUCGGUCCUCUUGCAAUCGGAUAUGCCCGGGUGGGAAUAGCUAGUAGGUGGGGUAACGUCUCACCUAGGUGACGAUCCGUACCUGGUCUGAGAGGAUGAUCAGCCACACUGGAACUGAGACACGGUCCAGACUCCUACGGGAGGCCGCAGUGGGGAAUAUUGCACAAUGGGCGCAAGCCUGAUGCAGCCAUGCCGCGUGUGUGAAGAAGGCCUUCGGGUUGUAAAGUACUUUCAGCGGGGAGGAAGGGCGUAAAGUUAAUACCUUGCCUCAUUGACGUUACCCGCAGAAGAAGCACCGGCUAACUCCGUG
rnacentral:rRNA from 1 species